rnacentral:rRNA from 1 species
AGCAGCCGCGGUAAUUCCAGCUCCAAUAGCGUAUAUUAAAGUUGUUGCAGUUAAAAAGCUCGUAGUUGAAUUUCGGGAUCAAGUCGUCGGUCGUGCUCAGGUACGUACUGGCGUCAUUGAUUUCUCCCUUCUGACGAACCAUGAUGUCAUUAAUUUGGUGUUAUGGGAAAUCAGGACUGUUACUUUGAAAAAAUUAGAGUGUUUAAAGCAGGCUCACGCUUGAAUACAUUAGCAUGGAAUAAUGAAAUAGGACGUUCGAUCCUAUUUUGUUGGUUUUAGGAUCAACGUAAUGAUUAAUAGGGAUAGUUGGGGGCAUUAGUAUUCAAUUGUCAGAGGUGAAAUUCUUGGAUUUAUUGAAGACUAACUACUGCGAAAGCAUUUGCCAAGGAUGUUUUCAUUAAUCAAGAACGAAAGUUAGGGGAUCGAAGACGAUCAGAUACCGUCGUAGUCUUAACCAUAAACUAUGCCGACUAGGGAUCGGAUGAUGUUAAUUUUUUAAUGACUCAUUUGGCGCCUUACG